GCCGCCGUGGUGGAAUUGGCAGACACGCUGGACUCAAAAUCCAGUGGUAGCAAUACCGUGUCGGUUCGACUCCGACCGGCGGCA
rnacentral:tRNA from 1 species